rnacentral:rRNA from 1 species
UACAGGGGGGGCAAGCGUUGUUCGGAAUUACUGGGCGUAAAGGGCUCGUAGGCGGCCAACUAAGUCACACGUGAAAUCCCCAGGCUUAACCUGGGAACUGCGUGUGAUACUGGAUGGCUUGAAUCCGGGAGAGGGAUGCAGAAUUCCAGGUGUAGCGGUGAAAUGCGUAGAGAUCUGGAAGAACACCAAAGGCGAAGGCAGCAUCCUGGGAAGUUCCUGACGCUCGGGUGCGAAAGCCAGGGGAGCGAACGGG